rnacentral:lncRNA from 1 species
AAAUCUCAAAAGUGUAACUAAAAUAAUUCAACUGAAAUAAAUGCAAUCUUAUUCCAUUGACUGACACAAAUUAUAAAGUCUCACAGUUCUAAAUACGCAGCGGAACAAUAAAGAUAAAACAUCAAUUUAAAUAAAACCUAAUCUAAAAUAACUUGUGCCAUAAUUCUUUUAUUCGCUCUUCCAUAUUGUAAAACUCCGGAUCGAGCUAAUUCUUUGGAUCUGUAAAAAUAGUAAGAAAUCGUAUAAUGAGCUAGACAGCCCAGUAAGUAAUAAAUACUUUAACUAGACAAUUCAUAUAAUAACAUAAAAUAUAAAUACAAAUUACGAUGAAUCAGCAUAAAGACAUAAUCAAUUUCUUUUCAAACACAAAUCCAACCGUAUCUUUCAAAUAUCCAUAUACAUAAUCAUAAAUAUGAUUCGAAAGAAAUCACAUUCAUCUCAACAGCCUUUAACUAUGACCACACUUAUACCCUGUGGCUAGGCUAGAAACAGAACCGCACUUAUACCCUACGGAGUGGGCCAGAAUACCGCACUUAUACCCUACAGAGGGGCCAGAAUACCACACUUAUACCCUGUGGUGGGGCCAGAAUUGCCAAUGCAUAACCCCCAAUUGGCAGGGUCCAGAACAUAGUCAGGCUGAGAGUUUCAAAUCUGAUGCACAUCAAAAUUCUUUUGUAACAUAAUAAAUAUAUCAUAAUCCGAUGUAAAUAUGCAUAUACGACGCAAGAACAGUAAAUAUAUCCGAAAAAUAUUAUUCCAAUUCAUCUAUCUAUCUUUCAUUCAAAUCAACAUCUCGUAAAAUUCAUAAAUCACAUAUAAACUCAUUAACAAUUUAUUCGAUGCAAAAAUAAUAUUAUAUAAAUGAAGAGUCUAGAAAAGGCAGUUCAUUACUUACAUUGAACGCGAUCCACAACAAAUCCAAUUAAUCUCACAAAUUCCUC